AGUGAACGCUGGCGGCGUGCUUAACACAUGCAAGUCGAACGAGAACGGGUUAUAGCUUGCUAUAAUUGUCAGCUAAGUGGCGCACGGGUGAGUAAUGUAUAGGUAAUAUGCCUCUUACUAAGGGAUAACAAAUGGAAACGUUUGCUAAUACCUUAUACUCCUUAUUAACAGAAGUUAAUAAGGGAAAGAUUUAUUGGUAAGAGAUUAGCCUGUAUUGUAUCAGUUAGUUGGUGGGGUAAUGGCUUACCAAGACUAUGACACAUAACUGGUUUGAGAAGAUGAUCAGUCACACUGGAACUGAGACACGGUCCAGACUCCUACGGGAGGCAGCAGUGGGGAAUAUUGCACAAUGGACGAAAGUCCGAUGCAGCAACGCCGCGUGGAGGAUGACACAUUUCGGUGCGUAAACUCCUUUUAUAUGAGAAGAUAAUGACGGUAUUAUAUGAAUAAGCACCGGCUAACUCCGUGCCAGCCGCCGCCGUAAUAC
rnacentral:rRNA from 1 species